rnacentral:rRNA from 1 species
CCUACGGGCGGCAGCAGUGAGGAAUAUUGGUCAAUGGACGAGAGUCUGAACCAGCCAAGUAGCGUGAAGGAUGACUGCCCUAUGGGUUGUAAACUUCUUUUAUAAAGGAAUAAAACGAGGCACGUGUGCCUUUUUGCAUGUACUUUAUGAAUAAGGAUCGGCUAACUCCGUGCCAGCAGCCGCGGUAAUACGGAGGAUCCGAGCGUUAUCCGGAUUUAUUGGGUUUAAAGGGAGCGUAGAUGGGUUGUUAAGUCAGUUGUGAAAGUUUGCGGCUCAACCGUAAAAUUGCAAUUGAUACUGGCAGUCGUGAGUACAGUUGAGGUAGGCGGAAUGCGUGGUGUAGCGGUGAAAUGCUUAGAUAUCACGAAGAACCCCGAUUGCGAAGGCAGCUUACUAAACUGUGACUGACAUUGAUGCUCGAAAGUGUGGGUAUCAAACAGGAUUAGAUACCCUAGUAGUC